rnacentral:ncRNA from 1 species
UUAUCAAGGGGUGCCGUCGGUUUGGCGGCUGAGAUGAUACCCUCUAAACCUGAUGCGGGCAAUACCGACGUAGGGAUGAUA